GAUUAACGCUGGCGGCGUGCAUAACACAUUCAAGUCGAACGGAAUAUGGAAACAUAUUUGGUGGCGGACGGGUGAGUAACGCGUGAGCAAUCUACCUUCAGAUGAGGGAUAACAACCGGAAACAGUUGCUAAUACCUCAUGAUACAAUAGAGUCGCAUGGCUUUAUUGUCAAAGGCUUGCUGCCUGAAGAUGAGCUUGCGUCCGAUUAGGUAGUUGGUGGGGUAACGGCCUACCAAGCCGACGAUCGGUAGCCGGACUGAGAGGUUGAACGGCCACAUUGGAGCUGAGAUACGGUCCAG
rnacentral:rRNA from 1 species